rnacentral:piRNA from 1 species
UCCAUGCUAGCAGAACUACCCAGGUCAGUUU